CAGGGAUGGCUGUGCUGAUGUCGUUGUGGCAGACAGAGAAACUUUGAUCAGAGCAGAUCAGACUCCAGGAGCCUCAUUUAGCAACCUGUGG